AGAGAGAGAGAGAGAGAGAGAGAGAGAGAGAGAGAGAGAGAGAGAAGGAUUUGUGCAUGAUAUUUAAGGAUGUCGGGAAAUGAAGAAAAGAGGCGGAAGAUUUUGACUGAAAAAGAAAAUUGAGUGCAGGAAUAAAAAAAAGUUUAAGAAAAAAUAGGAGUAACUGAUAGGCAGAAAUAAGCACAUCAUUUCUUGCAAAAUAAAAAGAUAUCAGAAAACGAGCAAGAAAAGGAUUAAUCAUUAAGCAAAAUAAGCACGGGCUUGGGGUAUCAAGUGAAGACUGAGGCACCACAGAAAUGGUAAAUGGUUUACAGCACAAAAGAAUUCACUUUAAACUUGCUAAAAUAAUAUUUGGGAUGCCUUUAUCUCUACUAAGUAUAUAGAUGCAGAUGUGUUACCUAAAAUUAAUUUUGAGGAUCUGAUCAAAGACUUUGCAAUUCAAAAAUGAAGGAGGCAACUUUUCAAAUAUAAAUAAAGUGAAAGUAUGCAAAAAUAAACAUUAUUUUCCCUCUUAUUGUUUUGUUUUGUUUUGAAAAAUAAAAAUUUAUUUUAUGGUU